rnacentral:rRNA from 1 species
GACGAACGCUGGCGGCGUGCUUAACACAUGCAAGUCGAACGGAGUGGCGAACGGGUGAGUAACACGUGGGUGACCUACCCUCCACUUCGGGGUAAGCCUGGGAAACUGGGUCUAAUACCGGAUAGUGUGGGAUGGGCCCGCGGCCUAUCAGCUUGUUGGUGGGGUAAUGGCCUACCAAGGCGGCGAGGGGUAGCCGGCCUGAGAGGUUGGACGGCCACAUGGGGACUGAGAGACGGCCCAGACGGCUACGGGACGCAGUAGUGGGGAAUAGUGCACAAUGGGCGGAAGCCUGAUGCAGCGACGCCGCGUGGGGGAUGACGGCCUUCGGGUUGUAAACGCCUUUCACCAUAGACGCGGUAGAUGGAGAAGAAGCACCGGCUAACUACGUGCCAGCAGCCGCGGUAAUAC